rnacentral:rRNA from 1 species
CCCAGAUUAGGUAGUAACAACCAUUUGAGUCUGGGAUUUCUGAAUGGGGAAACCCACUUACAUAAGUAAGUAUCAUUAACUGAAUACAUAGGUUAAUGAGGCGAACCGGGGGAACUGAAACAUCUAAGUACCCCGAGGAAAAGAAAUCAACCGAGAUUCCGAAAGUAGCGGCGAGCGAAAUUGGACUAGCCCUUAAGCUUUACACGCGUUAGACGAACGGUCUGGAAAGUCCGACGAUACAGGGUGAUAGUCCCGUAGUUGACGACGUGUGUUCAGUGAAAUCGAGUAGGGCGGGACACGUGAUAUCCUGUCUGAAUAUGGGGGGACCAUCCUCCAAGGCUAAAUACUACUGACUGACCGAUAGUGAACCAGUACCGUGAGGGAAAGGCGAAAAGAACCCCUGUGAGGGGAGUGAAAUAGAACCUGAAACCGUGUACGUACAAGCAGUAGGAGCAGGCUU